rnacentral:rRNA from 1 species
GUAGGUGGCAAGCGUUGUCCGGAAUUAUUGGGCGUAAAGCGCGCGCAGGCGGUUCUUUAAGUCUGAUGUGAAAGCCCACGGCUCAACCGUGGAGGGUCAUUGGAAACUGGAGAACUUGAGUACAGAAGAGGAAAGCGGAAUUCCACGUGUAGCGGUGAAAUGCGUAGAGAUGUGGAGGAACACCAGUGGCGAAGGCGGCUUUCUGGUCUGUAACUGUCGCUGAGGCGCGAAAGCGUGGGGAGCAAACAGGAUUAGAUACCCUGGUAGUCCACGCCGUAAACGAUGAGUGCUAAGUGUUAGGGGGUUUCCGCCCCCCUUAGUGCUGCAGCUAACGCAUUAAGCACUCCGCCUGGGAUACGGCCGCAAGGCUG